rnacentral:rRNA from 1 species
AUUGAACGCUGGCGGCAGGCCUAACACAUGCAAGUCGAGCGAGCGGCGGACGGGUGAGUAAUGUCUGGGAAACUGCCUGAUGGAGGGGGAUAACUACUGGAAACGGUAGCUAAUACCGCAUACCAUCAGAUGUUCCCAGGUGGGAUUAGCUAGUAGUUGGGGUAACGGCUCACCUAGGCGACUAUCCCUAGCUGGUCUGAGAGGAUGACCAGCCACACUGGAACUGAGACACGGUCCAUACUCCUACGGGGGGCAGCAGUGGGGAAUAUUGCACAAUGGGCGCAAGCCUGAUGCAGCCAGGCCGCGUGUUUGAAGAAGGCCUUCUGGUUGUAAAGCACUUUCAGCGGGGAGGCGUUACCCGCAGAAGAAGCACCGGCUAACUCCGUGCCAGCAGCCGCGGUAAUAC